rnacentral:lncRNA from 1 species
AACCCCGUCUCUACUAAAAAUACAAAACAAAACAACAACAACAACAACAACAAAACCCACCUCUACAAGCGUGAGCCACCGCGCCCGGGGCCAUUAUUAUUAAUAACUGAGGGACGCCUAGGGAAAACUCAGCAGGAAAUCAAGGACUCUUGUGAGAAAAAUGGAACCCAAAUAGCCCGGACUGGCGCUCCCCGGACUCUGCAGCCGGCGGCGCUGCCGGCGGACGGGGCGGGCUGGGGGCGGGGGGCGCGGCGGAGACGAAGGGGAAGGGGCUGCGCGGCGAGGUUUGCGUCGGGAAAGGUGAGGGCGGCCCGGGCCUCCCGCGGGGGAAGAAAGAGGUGCAGCCACGUGACGCAGCUCAGCCCAGCCCCGGGCGCGCCGGGACCGGAUGCGGGAAGUGGGUUCGGGGCCCCGCUCCCCUGCCCGGCUCGCCCGCCCGCGUCAGCUGACCUGGUUUCCGCGGGCCCCGCGCCCGGCCCCGCGCUCCGCUCCGCGCCCGCCGGCCCGGCCCUCCCUCCCCAGCUAGCCCGGCCGCCGCGGCCUCUUCGGCCCAGCGCCCGGGGCCGUCCUGCAGUUCCCCCGAGUGGGCCCGCAGGCCGCGGCCGCCUGCUCAGCACAGGACCCUUCGCCUCCCCGCGACAGGCGCCUUCACCUCGGGACCCGGCCGCCCUGUUCCCCGCGGCCGCCCCGCUCCCCGCGACGCCCCGCGCCCCGCGACUACCUGCUCUCCGCGGCCGCCCUGCGCCGCUCUGUCCCCCUGCAGCCGCCCAGGCCUCCAGCGAGGGCCGCCGAGGGCUCCAGGCACACCCAGGCCCGUCCUUCUCGCCCGCAGCGCCCCCCCGGGACCCUCAGGGACCCACCUGCCCUGCCCCCGGGGCGCGGCUGUCUGGAGCCUCGGCGCCGUCGCAGCCUCGCAGCCUCCCCGCCUCGCGCCGCGUGGAGCCGGGACCGCGGAAGAAAGGGUCGCCGCGGCCGUCGCGCCAGCCCUCGGGCCUACAUCUGCUCGCGGCCACGCGGCUCGCGAACUAG